GUGCUCACUUCAGCAGCACAUAUACUAAAACUGGAAUGUUCCCGAGAAGAUUAGCAUGGCCCCUGCACAAGGAUGACACACAAAUUCGUGAAGCAUUCCAGAUUAAA